rnacentral:lncRNA from 1 species
GGAGGGGGGGGUCCAUUCCUGCAUUGCAAUGUGAAGUGUUCCUGAAUAAACCUGCUUGAAGAAGGACAACGUGGUGUUGCGUCUUUCCUGCUGGUCAGGGUGGAUGCAACAAGUGAUGGCCCAUACAGGGACUUCUGCUUCACGAGAGCGCUGCAGGUCCAGAACUUCAAGAGGUCAGGGUAGUCGGCUGGAAAGCUCCCAGGUAAGUGGGACGAUUCAAGUUCUCGGUUAGAGACUAUUAGGUUCCCGGAUUAGGGACUAUUGAGGUUCUCAGAGUGAGACAAUUAAAGUUACACACAUGCAUAUAGUGUCGUGAUCCAAAAAUUAAAAGAAAAGCAAUUGGUUGUAGCCCCGGAAAAGGUUCAGAAAGGAAAAGUGGUGAAUUAUUUAGGAACAAAAAUUUUUGAUAGUCAAGUAUCUCCCCAGAAAAUUCAGAUUUGAACAGAUAAUUUGAGGACAUUGAAUGAUUUUCAAAAGCUAUUGGGAGAUAUACAGUGGGUAUGUCCUUAUUUGGGCCUAACCAACAAACAAUUACAACCAUUAUAUGAUAUUUUACCGGGAGAUAUAGAGUUAAAUUCUCCCCUGCAGCUUACUGAUUCUGCCCGUGUAGUGUUAACUUUGGUCGAAAAGGGUAUUCAAACAGCAGCAUUAAAGAGAAGAGAUUUGUCCAGUCCUAUUAUUUUGUGCAUCCUGCCCUCGGAGACCCAGCCUACUGGAGUCCUCUGGCAGGGCACUCCUUUAUUAUGGAUCCAUCCUAAAAUUUCCCCCGCCAAAGUGUUAUCCUAUUAUCCUGCCUCGGUUGCCCAAUUGGCAUUGCUGGGUUUACAGCAAUGUGUGCAGUAUUUUGGCACCCCUCCUGAUGAAAUUAUUGUACCAUAUGAUAGUAGACAAGUUGAAGUGUUGACUGCCACUGUAGAUGACUGGGCAGUUUUAAGAUGUAGUUUUUUUAGGCAAGAUAGAUAAUCAUUUUCCCAAAGAUCCUAUUUUACAGUUGUGUAGAGCUCACCCGGUAAUUUUUCCUGUAAUUAUCUCUCGAGUACCAUUGAAAGGGGCUCCUCUAAUUUUUACAGAUGGAUCAAAGUCAGGAUGCAGAGCCUAUUUAGUUCAAGGCUCUGUGCCUAUAGAUUUACAAUUCUCCCCUGCCUCACCGCAAGUUAUAGAAUUACAGAUUGUGAUUAAAGUUUUUGAAUUGUAUUCUGAAUCCUUUAAUUUAAUAUCAGAUAGUCAAUAUGUGGUUAAUGCUCUUGCUAUCUUGGAGGUGGUUGGUAGGGUAAAUCUUAGGUCCAGCAUUGGGGAUUUAUUAAGUAAAUUACAAAAUUUGCUAUUGCAUAGAUCCUCCCCCUUCUUUGUUCAGCAUAUCCGAGCUCAUACUGGGUUACCAGGCCCAUUGGUUGAGGGUAAUGACAUAGUGGAUAAGGCAGCACAAGCUGCUGUAUUUCUGGCAUGUCCUGCCCUCAACCUUGCUCAUGAUUUUCAUUCUAAAUUUCAUGUAAAUUCUAAAACGUUAGCCUCUCGCUUUGGAAUCACCUGAGCUGAGGACAAGGAGAUUGUCAAGGACUGUCAGGCCUGUCAGGCCUGAGCUCCUUUAUUACCUCAACCCUCCUUUGGAGUUAACCCACGAGGGUUACUCCCCCUACAUUUGGCAGAUGGAUGUAACUCAUUUUGCCGAAUUUGGAAAAUUACAGUUUGUUCAUGUUUCAAUUGAUACUGCCUCUGGAGUCAUUUUUGCUUCUUUGCAUACUGGAGAAAAGGCCCGUCAUGUCAUAGCUCAUUGCUUUGAAGCAUGGGGCGCUUGGGGUCAACCCAAAGAAUUAAAAACUGAUAAUGGACCUGCUUAUACUUCCGAUACUUUUGUUAGCUUUUGUAAGAUGAUGGGCGAUCAUCUUGUACAUGGUAUUCCCUAUAACCCUCAGGGGCAGGGAAUAAUUGAACGUGCUCAUCGUACCUUAAAAGAAUGCUUAAUAAAACAAAAAGGGGGAAUUGCCCUAGGGGCGACUCCCCAGGAACGCCUUUCUAUAGCCUUAUUUGUUCUUAAUUUUUUAAAUAAAGAUAAAUUUGAUUGUACUGCUGCAGAGAGAUUCAGUAAUCCUGAUGCAUCUCAGAAGGGAACUGUUAUGUGGAAGGACAUGUUGGAUGGCCAAUGGCAUGGGCCAGAUCCAGUGUUGGUGUGGGUGAGAGGGUCUGUUUGUGUGUUUCCCCAGGACUGCCGCCAGCCAUUGUGGGUACAUGAACGACUGACUCAAGUGCUGAAGGAUGACCAGAGGUGUGAUGAUGAUUCUCCUGGGAAUACUGAUGAUGGUGAUGGGGUGCAGGAGUGAGGAGCUACAAUGGGGCUCAUGUCGGUGUUUCUGAAGCCGCUACCCUUGACCCAUUCUGCUCAAGUGUUUCCUCGUUUCUUUACCUCCAAUACAUCUUUACAGCUACCCUUUUACCUGAUGAUGAAGGAGUGACACGGUGAUGAUUGAGCCUCUCCAGCUUGCCCUGCGAGGGGUAUUAUGCUUUCAGCUUAUUGUAAAUAUUUCUCAAGAUAGUGUGUGUAUGCAAUUGUAUAAUCAGACUGCUGCAUGGUUGGAUAGACCUUUUAAUAGUUCAACCCGAGCUAAUGCUACUUGGAUCAGAGGAACUUGGCCUGUGAGCAUACCCAAGGGCAAUGCUAGCAUUCCACCCCAACCACGCUGGACCCCAUUUUGCAGAGGCGUACGAGACUCUUUGCCUCCGUGGACUGGAUGUCAAUCCCGGAAGGCUGCUUGGGUAGUGAAAAAGUAUUUUACCUUUUCUCCAUACAUCAGUACCAUGCAUGAUUAAACAUUUGCAGGUUAUAAUUGGACAUAUCAAAGCCCAACACAGCAAGGGGCUAAUAAUCCUUUUAAUGUAUGGUUGUUAUGUGGGGUAAAUGGAAGCUGUACUGAUUUGUCACCUCUAAGUAUACUGAUGGGAGGGGCCUGGGGAAAUGCUAGUUGUUAUUGGAAUGGGUCUGAUUUGUUUGAAAAUUCUGUGAGUGUUUUGGCUUCAAGAAUCAUAGUAGUGAUAAUUGCUUUUAUAGUAUGUAUUGGAAUGCAUCUGUAUUUUCUUUGGCUGUGGUAACUGUAUGCCUAGAUUUGUACCCUGGCCAGUGCAAGCUCCAUCUGAGAUGACACUGUUUAGACCUAAAAGAGAUUUUGAGAUUACUGCUGCCAUAGUCACAGCAAUAUCACACCUCAAGGAAUGGGCUGGCAUAGGAGGGCUGGCAAUCAUCUGCGUUGCCACAGGAGUAAUGGCCCUAUGGUGCAUUUGUCGUAUGCAAAAAAAAAGGCAUACCCAUGAGCAGGCACUGUUGAUUCAGGCUUUUGCAGCCCCAGAGCUGGGGCAAUCUUCUCAAGUGUGGCUUGGCAUGCUAGAGAAGUAGUCAAUAAUGGGUAAGACUCCCUGGAGGUGUGACUAACCUAAGACAGGGACCAGACCACUGCUGUCUGUCCUCCCGAUGAUGGGUAAGGAGCAUUAUCACAGGGGGCAACCUAAGACAGGCAUUCUCACUGCCAAAAUAAUAAAUAAGGGGGAGAUGUGAGGAGUGGGUGCGACCGCCACCCGAAGAUGGCACCCAGGACUGCUGCCAGGUCUUACGACCUGCGCCUGACCCUUAUUACCUCAGACUUAGCCACAUCCCAACCGCCUGCACUGUGCAGACGCCAUGCCUCGUCAGCUCACCUGAGGUGUCGUCACUUGCUGUGAACCAAUGGACUGCCAUUAUGUGACUGGGGUGAUUGGGAGGAGUCAGUAGGGUAUUUAAGGCGCCCCCAGGGUUGCGGGGGGGGGGGAUUCCCGUUCCUGCAUUGCAAUGUGAAGUGUUCCUAAAUAAACCUGCUUGAAGAAGGACAACA